rnacentral:tRNA from 1 species
GUGGGUGUAGCUCAAUCGGCAGAGCACCGCACUGUGGAUGCGGCGGUUGGGGGUUCAAAUCCCCUCACCCACC